UACGUAGGGUGCAGGCGUUAAUCGGAAUUACUGGGCGUAAAGCGUGCGCAGGCGGUUUGCUAAGAGAGAUGUGAAAGCCCCGGGCUUAACCUGGGAACUGCGUUUCUAACUGGCAAGCUUGAGUGUGGCAGAGGGGGGUGGAAUUCCACGUGUAGCGGUGAAAUGCGUAGAGAUGUGGAGGAACACCGAUGGCGAAGGCAGCCCCCUGGGCUAACACUGACGCUCAUGCACGAAAGCGUGGGGAGCAAACAGG
rnacentral:rRNA from 1 species